rnacentral:rRNA from 1 species
GUGAGGAAUAUUGGUCAAUGGAGGCAACUCUGAACCAACCAAGUCGCGUGAAGGAUGAAGGUCUUAUGGAUUGUAAACUUCUUUUGCAAGGGAAUAAAGUGGGGGACGUGUCCUCCUUUGCAUGUACCUUGCGAAUAAGGAUCGGCUAACUCCGUGCCAGCAGCCGCGGUAAUACGGAGGAUACGAGCGUUAUCCGGAUUUAUUGGGUUUAAAGGGUGCGCAGGCGGGAUGUUAAGUCGGCGGUGAAAUUUUGCAGCUCAACUGUAAAAGUGCCUUCGAUACUGGCUUUCUUGAGUGUGGAUGAAGUAGGCGGAAUUUGUGGUGUAGCGGUGAAAUGCUUAGAUAUCACGAGGAACUCCGAUUGCGCAGGCAGCUUACUAAACCACUACUGACGCUCAUGCACGAAGGCGUGGGGAUCAAACAGGAUUAGAAACCCCAGUAGUCC